rnacentral:lncRNA from 1 species
CUGGACUCUGCCAUGCACAUCACAGAGCAUCUGAGAGGCAAGGUAUCCACCAGCGUGGGACAACUCUAUGCUUGCAUUCUGAUCAUGCCUCACUCCUCACACUUCAGCUUGUGUGAUGCCACCAGUUUGAGCCCUCUGAAAAUCCCAUCUGACCACUGCUAACCUCCUCUACCACCACCAGGCACCUACAACAGAAGACAAUCCAUAAAUGAC